rnacentral:rRNA from 1 species
UUCUGGCUCAGGACGAACGCUGGCGGCGUGCUUAACACAUGCAAGUCGAGCGGUAAGGCCUUUCGGGGUACACGAGCGGCGAACGGGUGAGUAACACGUGGGUGAUCUGCCCUGCACUUCGGGAUAAGCCUGGGAAACUGGGUCUAAUACCGGAUAUGACCUCCUAUCGCAUGGUGGGUGGUGGAAAGAUUUAUCGGUGCAGGAUGGGCCCGCGGCCUAUCAGCUUGUUGGUGGGGUAAUGGCCUACCAAGGCGACGACGGGUAGCCGACCUGAGAGGGUGACCGGCCACACUGGGACUGAGACACGGCCCAGACUCCUACGGGAGGCAGCAGUGGGGAAUAUUGCACAAUGGGCGAAAGCCUGAUGCAGCGACGCCGCGUGAGGGAUGACGGCCUUCGGGUUGUAAACCUCUUUCAGCAGGGACGAAGCGCAAGUGACGGUACCUGCAGAAGAAGCACCGGCUAACUACGUGCCAGCAGCCGCGGUAAUACGUAGGGUGCAAGCGUUGUCCGGAAUUACUGGGCGUAAAGAGUUCGUAGGCGGUUUGUCGCGUCGUUUGUGAAAACCAGCAGCUCAACUGCUGGCUUGCAGGCGAUACGGGCAGACUUGAGUACUGCAGGGGAGACUGGAAUUCCUGGUGUAGCGGUGAAAUGCGCAGAUAUCAGGAGGAACACCGGUGGCGAAGGCGGGUCUCUGGGCAGUAACUGACGCUGAGGAACGAAAGCGUGGGUAGCGAACAGGAUUAGAUACCCUGGUAGUCCACGCCGUAAACGGUGGGCGCUAGGUGUGGGUUCCUUCCACGGAAUCCGUGCCGUAGCUAACGCAUUAAGCGGCCCCCGCCG